UACGUAGGGUCCGAGCGUUGUCCGGAAUUACUGGGCGUAAAGAGCUCGUAGGUGGUUUGUCGCGUUGUUCGUGAAAACUCACAGCUCAACUGUGGGCGUGCGGGCGAUACGGGCAGACUAGAGUACUGCAGGGGAGACUGGAAUUCCUGGUGUAGCGGUGGAAUGCGCAGAUAUCAGGAGGAACACCAGUGGCGAAGGCGGCUCACUGGACCGGUUCUGACGCUGAAGCGCGAAAGCGUGGGGAGCAAACGGG
rnacentral:rRNA from 1 species